GAGGAGUGAUGAUGCUGAGAACAGGUUUCGCUUAAAUGAGCUGCUGAGGUCAUGUGAUGUCACGUCUUCUCUUGGCUGUCUGACCAA
ensembl:snoRNA small nucleolar RNA, C/D box 92